rnacentral:lncRNA from 1 species
UGUUAGAGAGUUAGGGUAUGGGAUCAGAGCUCCUCCAUCUUUAUGCUCAUUCAGGGCUAACAUCCAUGCUGCCUACGAUGUUCGAUUGAUAGAGAUAUAGAGACGGACUGCUGAAGAUUGACAGUGGAUGGCUGAGGAUCGACAGCAAGCUGAUGAGUUGGCUGCACGUAUCAAUUCUUACCAAUCAUUUCAGAAGCAGA